rnacentral:rRNA from 1 species
GUGAGGAAUAUUGGUCAAUGGACGAGAGUCUGAACCAGCCAAGUAGCGUGAAGGAAGACGGUUCUAUGAAUUGUAAACUUCUUUUGUGCAGGAAUAAAGUGGGUUACGUGUAACCUUUUGUAUGUACUGUACGAAUAAGGAUCGGCUAACUCCGUGCCAGCAGCCGCGGUAAUACGGAGGAUCCGAGCGUUAUCCGGAUUUAUUGGGUUUAAAGGGUGCGUAGGUGGAUUGAUAAGUCAGCGGUGAAAGUUUGCAGCUUAACUGUAAAAUUGCCGUUGAAACUGUCGGUCUUGAGUGCAAAUGAGGUAGGCGGAAUGUGUUGUGUAGCGGUGAAAUGCUUAGAUAUAACACAGAACUCCGAUUGCGAAGGCAGCUUACUGGGAUGCAACUGACACUGAUGCACGAAAGCGUGGGUAUCAAACAGGAUUAGAAACCCGUGUAGUCC